rnacentral:lncRNA from 1 species
UUUGGAGAAAAUCACAUCAUUCCUAAGAAGAUAAGUUUGUGUAUUGUACCAACCUUACUGUAUAUUUUGAGAUAACAACUAAAAAUCUUUCCCUCUGAAUUUGUAUCCCAGCUUUAAUUUCAUAUGGACUUAUUACUUAGAAGUUAUAAGAUUUUAACACCCAUUUAAGCUGGAUCUAAUACGAUCUUAAUUUUAAAAUAUUUAAUUUGGAACACUUCAAAAACAGAAAAAUUUUUUAAAAUCCAAAUAAGUUCCCUAAUCAAAAGAAAAUAUUUUUGUUAAAAUGUUGCUUAUAUAAAUAUAGUGCUUUUAAAUUUUAUCUCUCUAGAAAACUACCAUUCAAGUUUUACUAAAGUCACUAUACAUUAAUUGAGGUUUCAUGCUUUUGAAUCAAAAUUUAUCAAAAUAUAUGGAAAUGUUUGACAUUAUAUUGUAUUUAUACCAUAUGCUAUUUCAAAUAGUACAUUGUGGAGAACACUGAGUUUAUAAAAUCUCUGAAAUUGUUAGGUAACUUAGAAGUGAACUUCCUUUUAAUUCUGAGUACAUGAAAGUUCCAGUUCUGAAAUAUAUAUAUAUAUAUAUAUAUAUAUAUAUAUAUAUAUAUAUAUAUGCAUAUGCAUAUAUAUGUACAUGUGACACACACAUAUAUAUAUAUUUCAUGUUAUGUGCAUAUCAUUUAUAAAACUUAAAUCUAGAUGUAGGCCUGGAUGUUUUAUAAUUAAACCUAGUUAUUGUAAGGAUUAAUACAGUCUUGUCUAGUUAAAUGCUGAAGAGUUAUUUGAGGAAGAAAAAAAAAAAAAAAAACCUCAGCAGUUAAGGGCAUGCCCUGCCCUUGAGGAGGACCCUAACUUCAUCCCCAUCACCUCUGUCCUGCAGUUUACAACUAUUAGUAACUCCUGCUCUGUGGAAAUUCAAAUCUUUGGCCUCUGUGGACACCUGUACUCAUGCACAUGUUCACACAAAGAUAAAUAUAUCCAGAUAAUUAAAAAUAAAAUAAAACCUUAAAGAAAUUAUUUCUUAGUGUCUUUAAUAAUCAGGUUGCCUGUUCAUUAUUUUAAUCCUAACCAGUAGCCAAAUUUUGCAUGAUAGUUUGUUCGUUCCAGUUCAAAUAGAUGGAUGAAACUAAAAAAGAAAAAAAAUCUCUUGGGAAGAGUAGGUAGAAGGUUUAGAAAUCUGUGAUGGUACAAUAGGGGACAGAGUAGGGGCUGAAAGCCAGGUACUUUAUGUAAGAUAUAAAGAGUCAAGAUAGGUGUAUAGUGAACUUGUUUCUUUUCUUUUCUUUUCUUUUCUUUUCUUUUCUUUUCUUUUGUUUUCUUUUCUUUUCUUUUCUUCUUUUAUAAGAUAUUUUCUUUAUUUACAUUUCAAAUGUUAUUCCCUUUUCCUACUUUACCCUCCAAAAAUCUGCUAUCCCCUCUCCCUUCCCCCUGCUCACCAACCCACCCACUCCCACUUCCUGGCCCUGGCAUUCCCCAAUUUUUUCAUAAAUAAGAUAUGAUCUCUGAUCUGUGCCAUGCUAAGACUAUGUGUCAUAUGCCCUCUAUUUUGAGAGUGAAAAU